rnacentral:rRNA from 1 species
CCUACGGGGGGCAGCAGUGGGGAAUAUUGCACAAUGGGGGGAACCCUGAUGCAGCGACGCCGCGUGGGUGAGGAAGCGCCUCGGCGCGUAAAGCCCUGUCAGCAGGGAAGAAAAUGCCGGUACCUGAAGAAGAAGCCCCGGCUAACUACGUGCCAGCAGCCGCGGUAAUACGUAGGGGGCAAGCUUUAUCCGGAUUUACUGGGUGUAAAGGGGGCGCAGAGGGGGAUGCAAGCCAGGAGGGAAAGCCCGGGGUCAAACCCCGGGACUGCUGUUGGAACUGCGUGGCUGGAGUGCAGGAGGGGUAGGCGGAAUGCCUGGUGUAGCGGUGAAAUGCGUAGAUAUCAGGAGGAACACCGGUGGCGAAGGCGGCAUGCUGGACGGAAACUGACGCUGAGGCACGAAAGCGUGGGGAGCAAACAGGAUUAGAUACCCCUGUAGUC